UGCACCACCUUGUGGUUGCUUUUGUGUAAUGUAUCUUUUUGGAAUACAAAUUAUUGAGGUCUAAUUACUUUGAUAAACAUCUUAUUCUGGUAACAGUUGAAGGAACAUUCCAGACACAUAAAGCACUUCAGCUUUAUAGGAAGUCAAGAGUCUUUCAUAUUUGUGACAAUGUCUAAAAGUGCCAGUUUCAAUAGAAAUCUGCACUUUUAUAACCCGGGUCAGAAACGUGUGUCCUUGAGGCUCCGGGACAUAGACUUCUCAAGAGAAGCCUCCGAUUGAUGUAUUACCUGGCACAAAAUGAAAGUCUGUGCAU